UUCAAAUGUCAAGUCUCGUGCAGGGUUGCGGCACAGGCAAACUGUGUACAUUUCAUGUUCUCAGCUUAGGACAUCAUCAAUCAUGUGUAUCUCAGAUGACGCAGACAAUGACCACUGACCAGUCUGCGGAAGAUCUAUGCUGGUGGGCGAGAUGAUGAAAUUUCCUCUGUUGAGUGCCCGCAGGUUGGCCUCUGAACCGGGCGGGCGAGCCGCUGUGGUGACGUCACCAGCGUUAAACACACUGCUGAGGCUCCGAGCUGCUGAGCUGCGAUGGCGGCGUGGCGGUGGGAAGGGCAGAGAGGCGGAGGCAAC